CAGGAUGAACGCUAGCGACAGGCUUAACACAUGCAAGUCGAGGGGCAGCGGGGAGGUAGCAAUACUUCCGCCGGCGACCGGCGCACGGGUGAGUAACACGUAUGGAACCUGCCCGUAGCAGGGGGAUAAGCGGAAGAAAUUCCGUCUAAUACCGCGUAAUAACUCCGAGAGGCAUCUCUUGGGGUUUAAAGGGUAACACCGGCUACGGAUGGCCAUGCGGCGCAUUAGCUAGUUGGCGGGGUAACGGCCCACCAAGGCGACGAUGCGUAGGGGUUCUGAGAGGAAGGUCCCCCACACUGGUACUGAGACACGGACCAGACUCCUACGGGAGGCAGCAGUGAGGAAUAUUGGUCAAUGGGCGCGAGCCUGAACCAGCCAAGUCGCGUGAGGGAAGACGGUCCUAUGGAUUGUAAACCUCUUUUGUCGGGGAGCAAAAGGCGCCACGUGUGGCGUUCCGAGAGUACCCGAAGAAAAAGCAUCGGCUAACUCCGUGCCAGCAGCCGCGGUAAUACGGAGGAUGCGAGCGUUAUCCGGAUUUAUUGGGUUUAAAGGGUGCGCAGGCGGAAGAUCAAGUCAGCGGUAAAAUUGAGAGGCUCAACCUCUUCGAGCCGUUGAAACUGGUUUUCUUGAGUGAGCGAGAAGUAUGCGGAAUGCGUGGUGUAGCGGUGAAAUGCAUAGAUAUCACGCAGAACUCCGAUUGCGAAGGCAGCAUACCGGCGCUCAACUGACGCUCAUGCACGAAAGUGUGGGUAUCGAACAGGAUUAGAUACCCUGGUAGUCCACACAGUAAACGAUGA
rnacentral:rRNA from 1 species